CCUCACAUUUAAUGCCCACACUGACAGUACCUGCUACAGGCUUUUCAGAUCAUGGCCAAAGACUACUGAAGUCACUGAAAAACAGUGGUGUACGAAGCACACUGUUACUUUCAAGAAAGUGGAAGACACAUUUUGUGGAAGCACAGACCAGGAUAUAGUCUGAGGAUUCUCGCUCUAUCACACUGAAGGCAUUCUGACAAUACAGCAGUAUCCAGCCAAUUUGCUUCUUCCUUCUGGAGUCUUCGCAAACUUGAAUGUUUGCUUCAUAUGUUAUUGUUGAAGGAUCAGUACAUACAAAAAAGUUAAAUGCGUGUCCUCAAAACUACUGAGAAGGAAUUGAGGGCAGCCUAGAACAGGAUCUGCAGUUGAGAGCAGAGAUGUCUGACUGUAGAAACUUCUGGAGGCUCACCGUAGUCCACUGAGUGCUCUCCACUUCCUCAUCCAGGGACCCCAAUGAGAGGGAUGAAAUAUGCACAUCUAUAAAAAGCCUACAUGGUUCCACUCCAGGAAAGCCAGGUAACUGGGCAGUGCAAAGUGUUGGUGCCUAAAUCCUUAGUUUAAUAGGGAGGGAAAUAUGAGUAUAGAAGCUGUCCCAGCACUGCAGGGAGCUUAAAAGCAUUGGUUUGUUAUAAGCUCUAAAGGCAACAUCUCAAUUUUACAAGUAAUGUUAAUCAGGAAGCUGUUAGGGGAAAGGGCUAAUUUGUUAUUAAAAAUCACAGAAGGAUAUGUAAUUAAAUUUGAAUGAAAAGACUUCUAACUAACCACAGGGCUUUGAUCCAAGUCCUUACAAUGGUUACAAGUUGUGGCAAUUACU